UCAUCUUCUACUUUUCCGGAACACCGGCUGCCUUCGUGUUCCUUUCGAAUGUGUCAAAUAAUGUAGAUCUAUAUUCACUUUGGUAUAGACAGACAGACCUUUUUUAGAUUCUGCUUUAGUUUAUUGAAGAGGUGAAAUAUCGCCACAGUUGCUGCAAUCUCUGUUGUGCUUGUUAUCGGAAUAUUCAAGAUAAUUCCUUCCCAUAUCUUUCGUCGUGAUUUGACGUUAAUAAGCAGAUCAAAGUCUGCCUUGUGGAUUUCAGAUUCUUUUGUUGCCGGUAGUAUGUUAAUAACUGCUUCAAUGAAAUGCUCUCUCAUUCGAGUCUGGCUCUUGUUUUGCCUUUGUUAGCUACUCGAAGUCUACUUGUGAGUUGUUCGAAGUUGCUUACCACAAUGUGAUGUCC